GCGCAAGCCUGAUCCAGCAAUGCCGCGUGUGUGAAGAAGGCCUGCGGGUUGUAAAGCACUUUAAGCAGGAAAGAAGGUUUCAAGGCUAAUAUCCUUGGAAAUUGACGUUACCUGCAGAAUAAGCACCGGCUAACUCCGUGCCAGCAGCCGCGGUAAUACGGAGGGUGCGAGCGUUAAUCGGAAUUACUGGGCGUAAAGCGCGCGUAGGCGGUUGGCUAAGUCUGCUGUGAAAGCCCUGGGCUUAACCUGGGAACGGCAGUGGAUACUGGUCGGCUAGAGUAUGGUAGAGGAGAGUGGAAUUUCCGGUGUAGCAGUGAAAUGCGUAGAGAUCGGAAGGAACACCAGUGGCGAAGGCGGCUCUCUGGACCAAUACUGACGCUGAGGUGC
rnacentral:rRNA from 1 species